CUACAGCCAGUUAAGCUGUAGAUUAAGGUUUCUGAUGGAGGCCUGGUAUGCAGGGGCUGCGAACAGCAGCGUCCUUGAUAGUACUUGCUGCUGCCUGUCACCUGUACAGGCUGCCCUAAGGGACCUUGGAGACAGUU
ensembl:snoRNA SNORA70 Small nucleolar RNA SNORA70